ensembl:snRNA U6 U6 spliceosomal RNA
UUGCUUCGGCAGCACAUAUACUAAAAUUGGAACAAUACAGAGAUCAGCAUGACCCCGGUGUAAGGAUGACACGUAAAUUCGUGAAGAGUUCCAUAUUUUU